rfam:Gossypium hirsutum cultivar TM-1 chromosome 8, whole genome shotgun sequence
AUCCAAUGAUGAGGACACUUACGAAAUAAAUCCUUGAAUCUCUCCUAAGCCUCAUACAAAGACUCAUCAUCUAAUUGUUGGAAUGUUGUGAUCUCGUUCCUCAACUU